UAGUGGCCGCGGAACGACCGAACAGCUUG
rnacentral:piRNA from 1 species